rnacentral:lncRNA from 1 species
GGCCCAGACAUCAUGGAAACAAAGCUGACUCGUGAGGGGAAAGAACUGUGUGCGUCCCUUCCCUGUCACAUUUCUUCUUCUAGCUCUGCCAGCCAGCAAGUGGAUUAUAUCUACACUUGAUUCUAAGGAGCAGUUUGCAGCAGGUGGAUUGUAUCUACACUUGAUUCUAAGGAGCAGUUUGCAGCAGGUGGAUUGUAUCUACACUUGAUUCUAAGGAGCAGUUUGCAGCAGGUGGAUUGUAUCUACACUUGAUUCUAAGGAGCAGUUUGCAGCAGGUGGAUUGUAUCUGCACUUGAUUCUAAGGAGCAGUUUGCAGCAGGUGGAUUGUAUCUACACUUGAUUCUAAGGAGCAGUUUGAGUUCCGGUGCCCACUGAAGCCAGGGCCGUCAGAUGCCCCUGACAAGUCCUGGUGUUGGGAAUCAAACUUGAGUCACCUAGAAGAGCAGUAUUUGCUUAUCUUUGUGAAUAUGCGUCUUUCUUAAUUCCCUUCUCUCUCCAAACUUUGCCAUUACCAGAGGAAAGUUCUACUUUAUCAUAUUGCUAUUAGUGGAAGCAAAGCAAAAAUCUUAACACAACACUACAGAUUCCCUGGAUCAUUUCUAAUGGAUAUACCAGCUCACACCAUACAGGGGACAGCAAUCCAGAAAGAAAUCCUUAAAUCCUUUCAGUUUGGCCCCAAAUUUCACCUCCAAACUGAAUUUGCUAUUUUCAAACAAUGAUAUUCACAAUUAUUUUAAUAUAUUUAGUAUGGUUAUUCUUAUUCUGUUCAUAAUACUGAUACUAAAUUUUCUACAUUUGUUACAAAUCAUAGAAUCUAAUCUGUUGUAUAUUUUUUUACUCUAAGAACGUCAAUAUUAAAUUCUUAAUUCCUAUAGAGCUAUAACUUCUGAAAAGAUGAAAUGGCCUGCCAUUUUUCUCAUUAGCUAAGUGUUUGUUUCUUACAUAUUCAAGACCACUAUAAAGAUGGGCAUUCUUCCAUUAUAGAAAUUCUUUUCAUAACUUGAGUUUGCACACUCCUUGGCCACUGCUCCUACAGUUCCCAGGUGCAUCAAUUAAAAGUUGUUUCCUGUGGAUCACGUCAGGAAGAGUUCAGAGUCUAAAGCUCUUCAUAUUGUGGCUCGUCGCUGCUGCUUCACCUGUCCAGUGAGCUUGUGUUUCAGAGAAGAGAAUGGAAUCCAGGAAGUCUGAGAGCCUUGCUGAAGCCCUGUGGUGCAGCAGGGAGCACUGGCACCCAGGGCCAGGCACUGACUUUCAUCUAGAAAUCCACAAAUAAUGGUAUAUAGCUCUAGUUCUUAAUAAUUCCAUUCCCUCUCCCUGAAACAAUGGGAAUGCUGUGGAAGGGUAGUCAGGAGUUAUUUAUACAUUUAUAGCUUACUGUUGAUGAGCUGAUUUAUUGUGUUUUCUAAUGAUUCAGUGUAUUUUCCUUUGAGAAGUUCCAAGUCACUUAUAGAAAGGUUAUUCUGGUAAAGCAUUGUGGCUCUUAAAAAUAUACAAAAACUGAGGCCUUUAAACUUUUUCUCGUAUUGUG